GACGAACGCUGGCGGCGUGCUUAACACAUGCAAGUCGAACGGAAAGGCCUGCUUUCCCUUGUGGAUUGCGGGUGCUCGAGUGGCGAACGGGUGAGUAACACGUGAGUGAUCUGCCCCCAACUUGGGUAUAAGCCCGGGAAACUGGGUCUAAUUCCCGAUAGGACUGCAGGGUGGUGCCUGUGGUGGAAAACGAUUUUCUAGUGGUUGGGGAUGAGCUCGCGGCCUAUCAGCUUGUUGGUGGGGUAAUGGCCUACCAAGGCGGCGACGGGUAGCCGGCCUGAGAGGGUGGACGGCCACAUUGGGGCUGAGAUACGGCCCAGACUCCUACGGGAGGCAGCAGUGGGGAAUAUUGCACAAUGGGCGGAAGCCUGAUGCAGCGACGCCGCGUGGGGGAUGACGGCCUUCGGGUUGUAAACUCCUUUCGACCGCGAGGAAGCCACCUGGUUGGAAGGGUGGUGACGGUAGUGGUAGAAGAAGCACCGGCUAACUACGUG
rnacentral:rRNA from 1 species